rnacentral:rRNA from 1 species
AGAUUAAACAUAAGAGUUUGAUCCUGGCUCAGAUUGAACGCUGGCGGCAUGCUUUACACAUGCAAGUCGAACGGCAGCACGGAGAGCUUGCUCUCUGGUGGCGAGUGGCGAACGGGUGAGUAAUGCAUCGGAACGUACCGAGUAAUGGGGGAUAACUGUCCGAAAGGAUGGCUAAUACCGCAUACGCCCUGAGGGGGAAAGCGGGGGAUCUUAGUGACCUCGCGUUAUUUGAGCGGCCGAUGUUGGAUUAGCUAGUUGGUGGGGUAAAGGCCUACCAAGGCGACGAUCCAUAGCGGGUCUGAGAGGAUGAUCCGCCACAUUGGGACUGAGACACGGCCCAAACUCCUACGGGAGGCAGCAGUGGGGAAUUUUGGACAAUGGGGGGAACCCUGAUCCAGCCAUGCCGCGUGUCUGAAGAAGGCCUUCGGGUUGUAAAGGACUUUUGUUAGGGAAGAAAAGCCGGGUGUUAAUACCACCUGGUGCUGACGGUACCUAAAGAAUAAGCACCGGCUAACUACGUGCCAGCAGCCGCGGUAAUACGUAGGGUGCGAGCGUUAAUCGGAAUUACUGGGCGUAAAGCGAGCGCAGACGGUUAAUUAAGUCAGAUGUGAAAUCCCCGAGCUCAACUUGGGACGUGCAUUUGAAACUGGUUAACUAGAGUGUGUCAGAGGGAGGUAGAAUUCCACGUGUAGCAGUGAAAUGCGUAGAGAUGUGGAGGAAUACCGAUGGCGAAGGCAGCCUCCUGGGAUAACACUGACGUUCAUGCUCGAAAGCGUGGGUAGCAAACAGGAUUAGAUACCCUGGUAGUCCACGCCCUAAACGAUGACAAUUAGCUGUUGGGACACUAGAUGUCUUAGUAGCGAAGCUAACGCGUGAAAUUGUCCGCCUGGGGAGUACGGUCGCAAGAUUAAAACUCAAAGGAAUUGACGGGGACCCGCACAAGCGGUGGAUGAUGUGGAUUAAUUCGAUGCAACGCGAAGAACCUUACCUGGUCUUGACAUGUACGGAAUCUCUUAGAGAUAGGAGAGUGCCUUCGGGAGCCGUAACACAGGUGCUGCAUGGCUGUCGUCAGCUCGUGUCGUGAGAUGUUGGGUUAAGUCCCGCAACGAGCGCAACCCUUGUCAUUAGUUGCCAUCAUUAAGUUGGGCACU